AUACGGAGGGUGCAAGCGUUGCUCGGAAUCACUGGGCGUAAAGCGCGCGCAGGCGGUCUUUUAAGUUGGAUGUGAAAGCCUACGGCUCAACCGUAGAACUGCAUCCAAAACUAUUAGACUAGAGUGUGGGAGAGGAAGAUGGAAUUAGUUGUGUAGGGGUGAAAUCCGUAGAGAUAACUAGGAAUACCAAAAGCGAAGGCAAUCUUCUGGAACACUACUGACGCUGAGGCGCGAAAGCGUGGGGAGCAAACAGGAUUAGAAACCCCAGUAGUCC
rnacentral:rRNA from 1 species